rnacentral:piRNA from 1 species
UCUGUGUUGCUUCUACAGUCUGCUUGCUCA